UGUAUACUUAUUACGAUAUCUUGCUGC
rnacentral:sRNA from 1 species